AUUGAACGCUGGCGGCAUGCCUUACACAUGCAAGUCGAACGGCAGCACGGGAGCAAUCCUGGCGGCGAGUGGCGAACGGGUGAGUAAUAUAUCGGAACGUGCCCAGUCGUGGGGGAUAACGUAGCGAAAGCUACGCUAAUACCGCAUACGAUCUAUGGAUGAAAGCGGGGGAUCGCAAGACCUCGCGCGAUUGGAGCGGCCGAUAUCAGAUUAGGUAGUUGGUGAGGUAAAGGCUCACCAAGCCGACGAUCUGUAGCUGGUCUGAGAGGACGACCAGCCACACUGGGACGGAGACACGGCCCAGACUCCUACGGGAGGCAGCAGUGGGGAAUUUUGGACAAGGGGCGCAAGCCUGAUCCAGCAAUGCCGCGUGCAGGAUGAAGGCCUUCGGGUUGUAAACUGCUUUUGUACGGAACGAAACGGCGAGCUCUAAUACAGUUUGCUAAUGACGGUACCGUAAGAAUAAGCACCGGCUAACUACGUGCCAGCCGCCGCCGUAA
rnacentral:rRNA from 1 species